rnacentral:rRNA from 3 species
AACGGAUAUCUUGGCUCUUGCAACGAUGAAGAACGCAGCGAAAUGCGAUAUUUAAUGUGAAUUGCAGAAUUCCGCGAAUCAUCGAGUCUUUGAACGCAAGUUGCGCCCGAGGCUUGUCCAAGGGCAUUUCCGCUAGAGCGUCACCGCGCCCCCCACCGAUC